UUGAGGUUGCUCACAUCUGAGGGAAAUUGAGAACUCCAUAUCUCUUUCAAUUUGGGAAGUUCAGACAGUGUCAAGGACUCCAACCAGGGCAGUGAAACCUUACAAAGCCAGGAGCAUAACGUUACGAAGGCAUACGAGCGUAGUGUUGACAACCGGACCUCUAAAGCAUGAGAAGGCUUUGGCUCUGCAAGGAGAAUAAUCUGUUGGACAAAAAGUGUGUCUAAAUCCGGACGGAUCUUUGUAGAAGGAGAAUAAGCUGGAAAACCAGGGUUCAUUAAAGUCUGGAUGGACCAAGAGAAGGUGAACAAUCCGUAGAACAUGAGGAUAUCAAUUUGCUUGGAAGAACAUGUUUGCAGAAGGUGAAUAAACCCAUAUAAAAUAAUUCAUGAAAAGUGUGGAAGCACCAUUCUGGAGAAGCAGUACAUGCUACAGACAAACUGGAUGGUUUUAUAGACGAGCCUCUACAAUCAUAGUGGAGAAGACCCAGCUCGUUAUCAAUUUGAAUUGGACUCAAGUUGGUGUUUGAGAGUUAUCUUCAAGUUUUGGAAUCUGCCCAAAGCAGCCUGGAGUGAAUCAAAUCUAUUUUGCCAUUUUUGUGAAAGCAGAAAAGAUGUCGAGCAGACUAUAGAAGAAAGAGUGUUAUACUUUUGGAAAUGGUCUUCUAUGCUUCGCAGAAAGAGCUCUGAAGGAAGUUCAAACCAAUGACUAUUUGAUUGGAUAAAAUUUCUUGCGGAUAUUUUGAAGAUUGAAAGUCUUUAAAACAGAUCAAAGUGGUUGGUGGAAGUGGAAGAAGCUCACGAGCAACUUUCUCUGUAACAUUAAAUUCUUUUGCUUUCCUUUGUGUAAAAUAGAGUGAUUUCUAUUGUAGAUCUCUAUAGAGGGAGUCAAUAUUUGUCAUAUGGAAGAGUGAUAUAGUGUUUGUGAAGGGUGCUCGAGUUUGAAGAUGCAACUUUAGGAGCUUCAGGCAAAAGCAACACAUUCUGUACAAGAUGAACAUCUCAAGAAUUACACAGUGAAUUCCAGCCUUGUUGAGACUGUUAGAGCUGAUAGAAUGCUGAACCGUUAUAAAUCUCAUUUGUAUUUCUUCUAUCCUUUAAACUCUUUCAAUUUCUAU